UACAGAGGGGGCAAGCGUUGUUCGGAAUUACUGGGCGUAAAGGGCGCGUAGGCGGCCGCCUAAGUCAGACGUGAAAUCCCUCGGCUCAACCGGGGAACUGCGUCUGAUACUGGGUGGCUUGAAUCCGGGAGAGGGAUGCGGAAUUCCAGGUGUAGCGGUGAAAUGCGCAGAUAUCAGGAGGAACACCGGUGGCGAAGGCGGGUCUCUGGGCCGAUAUCGACGCUGAGGAGCGAAAGCGUGGGGAGCGAACAGG
rnacentral:rRNA from 1 species